GGCAGCCUAUUAUGGUGGGGGAGCUGCGUCUAUCUGUCUAUAAGGACUUGCAGCACGAAAUGCAGCAUCCAUAAAUAAAAAGGAUGUCAGUACGAAUAAGGUACAGAGCAUGUAAGGCAGGAAAGCAUAAAUAAGAACGGUUUUGCAAGCAUGGGUAGAGAAUAUACAACCUGUAACAUCUGAGUGCCUCUGAGGACGACUGACAUGAAAUGCAUGAUAUAUAUAUAUAUAUAUANAUUGGACUCAUUGGAAUCACAUUCUAAACCUUUCGGAGUGACGUAUGAUUGGUAACCUCCAUACACGUUAUUAGGACUAACACUUCAUCAUAGAUCUUAUAAGAAUCAGGAAGUACCAACAACAUUGAUAACAUAAGAAUAAGAGAAGUAACAUCAACAUUAAUCGUUCCAUAAGAAGGGAAACAAUGUAAGUACUGCUAGCUUCUAAGAGUGAAGUAUCGUUGGAAGCUCGUUACAUUAUGUACAUCGUGCAAAAGAAGGAAAGGGAUAGCCUCACAUACCUUGUAUAUACUGCCCAACCUCAAGCUAUGCAAAUUUCAUGACUCCUUAGUCUACAAUAAGAGAAAUGAUACUAUCGUUAUCAUUUAAGCGUCGUAACUAUUAUAUAUCGAUCGCAACCUAUUUUACGAUAAAACGAACAACACCUUCCCUUUUUAUAUGACUUCUCACAAGUUAAAAACAAUCACCAAACAGCUAAAACAACAUCAAUAAUAAUCAUAUUAAGUCUCCCAAAACAGUCCACCAACCAACAACAUUACUAACAAGCCUUUCGAUAGAUAUUUCGCAAGUUCUAGCUUCAACGGCUCAAUCGUAACUUGGAUAAUCUUAAAUACAUGUAGAGUAAGAGGUUCCUUACCUUUAAAUAGAUAGAACAACUCCAAUUUGACCCUACUUUACCACGAAAUAUCCUUCCAGUGCUGCCACAAGAACAAGGAAGCGAAACUACCAAUCAAUUCGGGUUUUUCGGCACUAAAAUCACUUUGGAAGACUUGAUAUCACCUAGGGUUGAUAUUAAAAACUUGAGAGAGUAUUUUACAGAACUUAAACCACUUAAUUUGUGUCAUCUUUUGUUUCAUAACUCGUUUGAUUCCAAGACUUAUGAUACAUAUAUUAUAUGAUUCAAAUACCUUAAAAUACAACCUCCUGAGAAUAUUAAGCACCUCUAGUUUUACCCGAAAAUACGGGUUACAACAUCCUUGAUUCGUCUUACUUCUAAUACUUGUUAACCACUCUUAUAAACCCUUGUAUCAUUUAAGACCUAUAGGAUUAACUUCUUAUCAUCUCAAAGAUAAUCGCUUCUCAGAUUUACGUCGACUAACUUACGGCACGAUCUAACAUACGCAAAUAUGGGUUGUAACAUCCUCCCCCUUAGGAAAAUUCAUCCUCGAAUGUAAGGGUUUAUGGGGAGUCUAACUCAUCAUGGAUUCCGAUGGAAAUUUCCGGCAGAGUUUCCCCUAUAAAAUGGAUAUUAGCCAAACUUGCAAGCAGUUAAACCAAGCCUACGGCCUCACAAGGCUAUACAUUAUGGAUAUGUACAUUAACUGCAUAUCACUAUUUUGUAUUAAGGAAGAGUAUUCUCAAAUUAUUGCUUACCUCAUAGAGCCGUUUUAGUUUCCAUUGCGUCCUGCGUUCCCCUAGCAUCCUUGUUAUCUUUAAUCUGGAAUAGGUAAGGGUAUUUAGACUGAUCUCCUCUUCUGCUUCCCAUGUCAUUUCUUUUGUAUACUUGUUUCUCCAUAAUACUUUGACGGAAGCUACAUCCUUUGUUCUCAGCUUGCGGACUUUUCGAUCUAAUAUAGCCACUGGCACUUCUUCAUAUGAUAGAUCCUCUGUAACUUGUACAUCUUUGAUAGGGAUGACCGAGAAGGGUCUCCAAUACAUUUCCUCAACAUAGAUACAUGGAAUAUCGGGUGGACAAAUUCCAAUUCGGAUGGCAAUUCUAACUCAUAAGCAACCUGUCCAAUUUGUCAAAGAAUCUUGCAUGACUCGAUAUACCGCGGACUCAGUUUACCCUUCUUCCCAAAAUGCAUAACACCCUUCAUCGGUGAGAUCCUCAGGAAAACUCAAUCACCAACCUCAAACAUCAGAUCAUGAUGUCAGACAUCAGGAUAAGACUUUUGCCUACUUUGCACUGUUCUCAGUCGUUCUUGUAUCACUUUAACCUUCUCAAUAGCUUGGUGAAUGAAAUCUGGCCCAUAUAAUUCGGUUUCACCGACUUCAAACCAUCCAACUGGUGAUCUACAUCUCCUCUCGUACAGUGCCUCGUACGUGACCAUUUUAAUACUGGAAUGGUAGCUAUUAUUGUAGGCGAAUUCUAUGAGUGGAAUAUGGUCAUCCCAAUUCCCUUUGAAAUCUAGAACAUAUGCUCGUAGCAUAUCUUUGAGUGUCUGAAUGAUACGUUCAGCUUGUCUGUCAGUUUGCGGAUGGAAUACAGUGCUGAGAUUCACUUGUGUGCCUAAACCCUUAUGAAAAGACCUCCAAAAGUUAACCGUAAAUUGAGCUCCUCGGUCAGAUAUAAUAGAUACUGGCACACUAUAAAGCCUAACAAUAUCCUUGAUAUACAACCUCAUAUAAUCUUCAGCCGUGUAAGUUGUCUUAACUGGCAGAAAAUGGGUAAAUUUUGUAAGUCGAUCAACUAUCGCCCAGCUUGAUCCUGAUAUCCUAUCCUUCUCUUAAACAAUACUUGUUAGCUCCCAUAGGGCAUAACUGAGAUGGGUGUGGCCAAUUGUACAUACCUCUAUUACUGUUGAAGGUAACUCAAAAUGCUUAUAUUUCUCUACCUGAAUUAUAAAUACUGAUAAUCUUCAUUAACUGGGUACCUUAUACCCUUCUUCACCUUGCUUCUUUUACUUGUUGAAACUUGUAUCUACCUUUCGAUUCUCUCGUUGCUUUUUACCACAUGGGUGGAUAGAUAUUCAUGCCUUAGGGAUCCUUUUAGAGAAGCUUACACAUCUUAGUACACACAUAAUAUGCUGAAGACCUUACAUUUACUCAUCAUAAGCAUGAUGCAAAAUCGAGUUCCACUGGCUCAACUCUUCCACAUCCACAUUCAAUCUCUUACCAACGGUCUUUCUAGAUGUAGGUAUCAUUGUAUUAUGAACAAGAUAGAAUUGAGGAGUUUGAAUUCUUACAACUGAGCUCUACCACACGAUCUAAAGUAAGAAGAAAGAGUGACAGUCCUAAGUGGCCUGUAGCCUCAUGCUUAUAAGUGUGGUGCACAACACACCCAUAAACAAUACUCUACUAGACACGGAUUGCAAACUCACUAGGACAAAACUGCUCUGAUACUACUUUUGUCAUGACCCAAAUCGGAGGGCCGCAAUGGGAAUCCGGUGCCUAGGGCCGUCAUUUGAUAACCAGAAUAAUACAUAAGGGAAUACUAGACAUAGGACGACCCAACAUGAUAUAGAAACUUAUACAUAUAACAUACGGGCCUAUAAGGGCGACAUGAUCAUUUGUACACUCAAAACAUAGGCUGAAAAGACCAUACAAAUAUCCAUAUACAUGACAUCUGUGUACAAGCCUCUAAGAGUACAUAAACAUCAUAAAGGUCGGGACAGGGCCCCUCUAUACCAGUCAAUACAUGUCCAAGUCAUACUGACCAAAUAGGCAACUCCGGAGAAAGUGGAGUGCACCUUCCGCUGAGCUAAUAGCCUACUAGGAGGACUAUCAACUUGUCUAUCGGGACCUGCGGGCAUGAAACGCAGCAUCCCCAGGCAAAAGGGAUAUCAGUACAAAUAAAGUACUGAGUAUGAAAGGCAGUAUAUAAAAGACAUGAAUGAAACAUAGAGUAAAUGACUCAACCUGUAAGUCUGAAUAGCUCUGUGAAUUAUGAAACAUUUAUAAUGUCAUGCUGCGUAUAAAUGUCAUAUCAUGCAUGGGUGUAUGCGUACAUAAAAUCAUCAAGCCUCUGAGGGCAUCCCAUCAUAUCAUCUCAGCCUCUAUGGGGCAAAUCAUUAACGUAUACCAACUGAUCAGGUGGUGUUGCAUAUAUAACGUUGUAACCUUUCCCCAUAGCCCAUGUACAUAUGAUAUAUGCGUAUAUAAUGCCAUCUGGUCAUGGGUCAGUGUAAAUGUAUAAAUGAAUGCAAUACAUAAUGAAGUAAGUCAAUAAGAUCUCUCGGAAUGUCAUAAGAUCAAUAUGCCUUCGAAUAAACUUUAUCAACUUACAUAUUUUUCUGAGACACAUGAACAGACGAUAUAAUAAUAAGACACAUGGGGAAUCAAGAACAUAGGCACCCCUAGUACUUCUAUGAAUAGAGGCAUUUAUGAAAGUUGCGUGUUUGCUUGUUUCGUUUGUAUCAUAUGGAUCAUGCCAAAAGGAAAGAAGGGAUAGCAUUAACAUACUUUAUCGUUUCACUCAAUGACAAUGAAGAACUCAGUCCACUCAAACCUUAAUCUACAAUAAUAACAAUAAUUCUAAGGUCAAACUAAUGAAGCAAGUGUAAUACUAUGUUGAGCAGCAAGCUCGCUUUACAACUAACUAAAUGAAGUUUCUCCACCGCCCUUCUUCUUUCUAAAUCUUACAACAACAACAAUAACAAUUACACACCUACAUGCUUAACACCAUAUUUUCAGCCCUUCAAUAGAACAAGAACAUCCUCUAAUACACUACAACAACCCAAAUACUCCGACAAUUUGUAACAACAACAAUAACUUAGACUCAUGGCUUCCAAUCAUCAUCCCGUGAGUCUUUUGUCUAAUAAAUACUAGAAUCACUCAUUCGAAAUAUUAGACAAAGCUAGGACGAAAAUCUUACCUUAAUAAAUGAAGAAUUAGAUCCUUAGCUUUCUCACACCACAAGAAACUUCACUUCUACAUCAAGAAGAACUCAAGGUGAAAUCUUCCAAGUUGAAGACAACUAAACUAGAAAGGUUUAUUUAAUUCUUACCUUAGUUCUUUGAAUAAGGAGAAGAAGAUGAGCUAGAGUGAAUUCUUCCUAAGCUUGGUAAAACAUCCCAAAAAAUGAGGAUUUGCAAUAUGAUUAACUUAUAUAAAGGGGCUGGCCGUAAUGUUUCUUAGAGAGGAGCUCUUGAAUGACAAAGUCACACCUUAUCUCUAUUUGUAUAAGUUGGUGGACAGCACUUACCUAGAAAUGAGUUCCUUAACUUUUGAUAAUUGAUACUAUUUGUAAAGUUUAAAUAGCACCCGAAUAAGCAUAAUGAAGGUGAGAGGAUAAGGGCUUGAUCUCCAAUUUGGGAGCUUCUUCGAUGGACAGCUUGGGUGGUGGCCUAGUCGGUCUAUCUAGAGGCUCGAAAUUGAUUAUUCCUUUGAUGUAAGCUCAUGCAUAUGGAUGAUGCACCUUCUCCUUAACCUCAUCAUCCAAGUAAAUGAUGUGGAACAACAUAAGUGCUUUCUCUAAAGAGUCAUACAAAUAUGUACCCACGUCAGUUUUUCUUCUUCUUUUUCAACCACAGAGAUCAUAGCUAGAUCCUCAUAGUGACUUCGAAGCUGAAUUGCCUUGUACACAUUAAAGAUUUCUUCCAUAUUAUCAACCCGGAGAAUCAUUUUUUCUUCACGAACUUUUAUCACAGCAUCAGCGAUGGCUAAGAGAGGUCGUCCUAAGAUGAUGGGAACGUGUUCAUCAACUUCAUAAUCCAAUAUAAUGAAAUUUGCCGGAAGAAUAAAUUGCCCAAUCUGUAGUAACACAUCUUCUAUUACUCCCUUAGGAUAGACAACAGUUCUUUCAGCAAGCUGCUACAUGACAGUGGUUGGCCUUGGUGCCCCCAACCUCAAUUGACUGAAAAUUGAGAGGGGCAUCAAAUUUAUGCUAGCCCCCAAAUAACAAAGUGCUCGUCCUACAUCUACCUCACCAAUUCAAACAGGGAUGGUGAAGCUCCCAGGAUCCUUCAGCUUUUGGGGCAACCUCCUUUGAUAUUUGAACAAAACGUAUGUCUUUAUUCACAAGAACGGGCCAAAACGUUACAAGUACAAAAUAAGAAAAGAAAGGAAAAGCUAAACUGCAGCGCCUCCAGGACCAGGAGGAAGAGAAGUAUCCGCAUUGCCGGGAAGAGUAGGUGGUUUCGCCGAUGGCUCAACACUUUACCCAGUUUGGUCUUUGGCCUCAUCGCCUUCUGAUCCCUCUUCAGUUUUCGAAAAUCCGGAACCAAAAUCAGAAGAACUUGGAGCAUCAGACUGAGCCGGGAGUCCUUUUUUGCAGCAAACUCAAGCUCUCGGACCUUAGAAAUUUUGGCAUUAACAUCAAUGAUACCAGCUUUGGCCUCUUCCAAGCUUUUUCUCCUCAUGCUAUACAUGGAAUAAUUUUUUUCAACAAUGAGGGAAGCCGCUCGGCGCUUACGUUCUUCUUUGAGUUGAGUAACCUCGACGGAAAGGUUUUCCCGGGCGGAUCUAACAGAUUUGAGGUUGACGUCGAGCUCGCGGACAGUUGAAUUAAAGAGCCUAUUAUGCUCAAUAGUUUUCCUGUACUUCUCUUCUAGCUGGGCAUGUCUCACCUCCACGGUAGCAAGCUCUUCACUUUUGGAGUUCAAGGCUGCCUCCAAGUUAAUCACUCUUUCAGCGGAGGCCGCCUCAUGGUCGGUUGCAGCAAAAGCGGUGUUCAAAAGUAGUUCUUCCUUCUCAUGAAUCAACCUUUGAAGGCCGUCAGAAGCAAGAAAGUUGGCCUAUAAAAUAAGAAGAGGUAAAAUUUAGAAUACAUUCGUUCAAAGUAGAAGAAAUAACAGAAGAAGGAAGGAACGUACCACUGUGGCAUUAUGCAUAACAUUGUUCAACAAACACUCUCUCGAGAGUGUCUGAAUCUUUUCCAGUUUUUUCUGAAGCCAAAGGCAUAAGGUAAUUAGCAAGCUCCACCGGCCGCGAUCGCAGGUUGCACCCAGUAUAGUCUGAAAGAUUGAUGUUCCUCCUCCUUUGUGGAUCUUCAGAAAGAGCAGCAUAAUUGUGACCCAAGUUCCCAUGAACUUGGGACUGUGGAAGAGGAACACCUUCUUCAUGGUCAGUUUUGGCCGAUGGAGAUGGUAUAGCAACCGCUGGUGGAAGGGUAGACAAAGAUGGAAAUGAUGUAGCAGUUGCUAGUGUUGGCGAAGGUGGAGAUGAAGCUGAUGGAGUUGAAGAGUGAGAAGCAACUGCAUCAAAUGUAGUGCUGGUUGGUUGAUGCUCGCCAACCAAAGAUGGUAAGGACCUGAUACUCAGCCCCGCAGAACCGGUUGCAGCAAUUGGGUCCCAAAAAUGGGAGUUGGCAUAUUCUACCAAAUCAGAUUCUCCCCAAAGUGCCGAGACAUCGUCUUCAGUUGGUGUAACUAUCUCAACAGGUCGAGCAUCAUGUUGAGAUGAUGAGGAUCAUCGCCUUCUGUGUAAAGAAGCUCCCUCAUUAAUAGCUUCUUCAUCAUCAUCAAUCAUCACGGUGUCUACGACCGGCCCAGAAGGAGGACCAGUCAUCAUCACCACCAGAGAUUAUUUGGGGGCAUCAACCUUUGCCCUUUUAUUCUUUUCCCCAGCCGCGGAGGAGCGUCUUCUCUUUGUUUGUUUAUCCUCCGGCCGGGGACUCCGUAAAGAAAUAUGUGCAACCGAAAUAGGCCCGGAGAUACCUGUUCGAGUAAGUGCUUCCUGAAGCAGCCUCGCUGCAUCAGCAGAAUCAGCCAAAACGUCCUCCUAUGGGACAACAACAGAGCCCGCAGGUAGACCUAAUUCCAUGGAAAAAGGUAGAAGGGUUCAACCAAGUUCUUCAGAUACAAAAAUAGAAGUAAGGUAAAUUAGAGUUACCAUGAUUUUUGGCCUUCCACCCGUAUUUAAGGGCCAGUUCUUUCCACAAAUGAGUUUUGGGCAUUAUGACAUCCAAAAUCAUCUGAACCCACCGGUUCAAACCUUCCACCACCGGUGGGAGCCAUCAAGUUGAUGAAACAAGCGAAGGGUGAAGAGAUGAUACGACCAUAGAAGAAUAUCUAGUAAUAUGAAUAUUAUACAAAAAACUUAUGAGUGCGGUUCCAAGCAACCGGAAAGGAUGAAGUCGUUGUCGGAAUGAUGUCGUUGGUGGUAAGUGCAAUGAACCUUUCCAUCCACCCACAGUCAUUGUCAUCAUCCAUACUAGACAACAAAGCAUGGUGUCUAUGCUUGCAAAGGUUUAUCAUUCCCCAGCGGAAGAUUUUGGGGGAAUAGAGAUUCAUCACAUGAGCUAAGGUUAGCUCCUCCCCAGUUUCUAGGCACAAGCGUUGGAGGCAUGCUAUCGUCCUCCACACUGAAGGGCUUACUUGUGCCAAGCAUACCUGGUAGCGAAGGAAAAACUCCGCAAUCAUGGAAUCAAGCUCCCCGCUCAAAGAAAACACACACAAAGUAAAGGGAUACGUGAAAAAGUAUGUUAAACCUUCCUGGGGAAGGGUCACUCGCUCCGAUAGAUCAGGAGCGAUAAUUUCCAACUCAUUGUAGCGGCAAUCCUCCUUCACAGCAGGAAUACUGGAAGGACGAAUGGAUGAAGGGUACCUACUAACAGCCCAUGUACGAGGGUUAGCAGUAGGAAAUUUCUCUUAAAAAUCCUUCGAAGCACUAAGCCUUCUUGGAAUGAUGGAAUCCACUAUUGGAGGAACAGAAUCCUCGAUUUUGUUUUUAUUCUUUGUAGAACCACCACGUUUGGAGGAAGAAGACAUUGGAAAAUAAGAAGGUAAAGAGUUUGUGUCACACCGCAAAACCGAGGAGCGCGACCGGUGCUCAACUGAGUGAACCCGACCGAGCAAGCCUGUUAGAUUCCUUCUACUCAAAGUCAUUCAUGAAUAAAGAGAAUAUAUGUUUUCCUUAAUUAAAUAAUAAAGUGGUCAUGUAUGCAAUUACCAAUUUCUUACCAUAAGUUUCACCAUUUUUAAAGUCUCAAAUGGACAAGUAAUACAACCACAACAUAGCAUAGUUUGUCUUUCCCAGCACCAAUACACAACCCACACUAUGUCUACNAAGCUUCCUUAAAAUCUAAAACGUUCCGGAAUUCUUAGCAACUUCAAUCUAUUUUAGAAAUAUAACAAAUUGGACCACAAUUAGGAAGAUGAUUAUGGUUCUAGCUCAUUUGAGCAUUUUAUCAAACACUAGGUGUGCAUUAAGGUUUCAAGGCCCUUUUUAUGGAGGAUACCAUCAUCCCACAACCCAAUCUUUACCAUUUUUAGCUCAACAAUCUUCCUACAUCCUUUGAUAACACAUGCAUGUAAGAUAACCAAUCCUCUUGCCCAGAAAUUAUCUUGCUUAUAUCCAUUUCUACACAAAAUUCGAAAUUGAGGGUUAGGGUGUAGAAUCUUACCUCUAGGAUGAAAACCUAGUGAGUUUUACUUCUUAAUCUUCCAAAACUUGGGCAAGAAUUGAAGGACAAAUAUUGGAGAACACCUUCUCACUCUAGGGCACCCACUCUCACUCUAAAAUGUCAGAUAAUAGCUCAAAAAUGACCCAAAUAGUGUAUUUAACGAAAGAGGGUCGGGUUUUAAAAACCCAAAAAUGGAGCUCCGGAAUAAGGUAUGCGAUCGCAUAUCCGAUAUACGGACCGCAUAUUGGUCGCAUAGUUGGUUACAAAAUAGCCAAAAGAACUAUCUGUGUAUGCGGUCACUAUGCAGUCCGCAUAAUCGUUAUGCGGUCGCAUAAUGCACCGCAUUACAGUUAUGCAGUGGCAUAGUUGAUCGCAUAAUUACUUCCAAUUAGCCCAACUAACCGCCUCACUCUGCGGCCAUUAUGCGAUCCGCAGAGUGAUUCUGCGAUCGCAUAAUAGACCGUAGAAAUGCACUUUUUCGUCAAAAAUAUUUCUUUACUUUCCGGUGCAUUGUUCAAACCACAAAGUCCAAGUCGCGGCUCGCAAGCUCGCUGCAAAGAAUUUCUACAAUCCUCAAACACGUAAGCCUUGUCCGACACCAUGAAACAUUAUUUUCUUUGCAAAAUGUAUCGGGCUUACCUUAAGUACUUCAAAAUUUUCCGGGGUGUUACAUUCUCCCCCGCUUAGGAUCAUUCGUCCUCGAAUGAGGGUAAAAAUCCGUCAUUAGCAUCUUAUGCAACUUAGUUUGUUUUAUACCACUAACUAGCAGCCCCAAGUUUGACUAACUCCCUAAAUUUCCAAAAAUUUCUCUAGAGUUUCCCUUGUAAUUAGGCUUAUCCACCUGUCAGAGAGCCCCAGAAACACAUCCUAACAGCAUAUACAUAAUCCAACAACGUAAUAUAAUACAAAACAACACCAACUGUGGGCUCACAAGCAAUUAUAUUACCAGAAUGGAACACCUUUAACACCAAAUGUACAAGUCAUACAUAUUUCAUAGGAAUAUCCCUUAGCAUUUUCAUAAGGCACAACUCAUAAUUACAUGGUUAUUUAAAUAAAUAAGGAUACUUUUUCUUCAUUUCUUCUUCGGCCUCCCAAGUAGCCUCUUCAACCUGUUGGUUUCGCCAUAGCACUUUCACGGAUGCAAUUUCUUUGUUUCUCAACUUUCGGACUUGCCGAUCAAUAAUAGAAAUUGGAAUCUCUUCAUAAGUGAAUUCUUCAUUUACCUCAAUAGUCUCAACUAGAACAAUGACUGUCGGGUCUCCAACUACUUUCUUUAACAUAGACACAUGAAACACCGGGUGUACUAAUGACAUCUCAGGUGGUAGCUCAAGCUUGUAUGCUACCUCACCGAUCCUCUGAAUGAUUUUGUACGGUCCGACAUAUGUCGGACUCAAUUUCCCUUUCUUACCAAAUCGCAUUACACCCUUCAUGGGGGGAACUUUCAAAAAUACCCAAUCAUCUUCUUUGAAUUCCAAAUCUCUACGACGAAUGUCCGAAUAGGAUUUAUGAUGACUCUGAGCAGUCUUCAACGGCUCCUUAAUGAUUUUAACUUUUUUCAUAGCCUGAUGCACGAGGUCUGGCCCUAUCAACUCUGCUUCCCCAAUUUUGAACCACCCAAUAGGAGAUCUACAUCUCCCACGAUAUAAAGCCUCGAACGAUGCCAUUUGAAUGCUAGCAUGAUAGCUAUUGUUAUAUGCAAAUUCUAUGAGUGGUAAAUGAUCAUCCCAGUUUCCUUUGAAGUCUAUAACACAAGCGCACAACAUAUCCUCAAGCGUCUGAAUAGUCUGCUCUACCUGCCCGUCAGUCUGCGAGUUAAAGGCUUUACUAAGAUUCACUUGAGUACCCAAACCUUGCUGAAAUUUCUUUCACUGAAUUGUGCCCCCCGAUCAUAAAUGAUGGAAACUAGGGUGCCAUGCAACCUGACUAUUUCUUUGAUAUACAACUGAGCAUAUUGCUCCACAGUGUCGGUAGACUUAACCGAAAAAAAUGUGAUGUUUUCGUGAGUCGAUCCAUAAUCACCCAAAUUGAGUCAAACUUGCGCGGAGUGCGCGGUAAUCCUACCACAAAGUCCAUAUUAAUCAUUUCCCAUUUCCACAUUGGAAUUUCUAUGUUCUGUGCCAACCUACCGGGCCUUUGGUGUUCGACCUUCACUUGCUCACAGUUCGGACAUCUUGCUACAAAGUCCGCCACAUUCCUCUUCAUAUCAUUCCACCAAUAGACUUCCUUUAGAUCAUGAUACAUUUUUGUAGAACCUGGGUGCACAAAAUACCUAGAAGUGUGAGCUUCAGUCAAAAUUCUUUCACGGAGACCAUCCACAUUUGGAACACAUAGUCGCCCUGGUACCUUAGUGUACCAUCAUCCAUGCCAAGAGAAAAGGCCAUGGUCUUAUGUUUAUGAAUCCCCUCUUUUAAUUGCACCAAUAAUGGAUCGCUGUAUUGCUUCUCCUUAACUUCCACAACAAGCGAUGAUUCAGCCCUAUUUUGUACAACUACCCCUCCUUCACUAGACUCCGUAAGAUGAACUCCCAAACUAGCCCAUCGGUGAAAUUCCUUGGCUAAUGGCCUCUGAUAUGCCUCUAAGUGAGCCAAACUACCCAUAGAUUUCCGGCUAAGAGCAUCAACCAUAACAUUGGCCUUUCCCGGAUGAUAUAGAAUAUCGAUGUCGUAGUCAUUCAGUAACUCAAGCCAUCUUCUCUGCCUCAGAUUCAAUUCCUUCUGCUUGAAAAUGUAUUGAAGGCUCUUACGGUCCGUGAAUAUAUCAACAUGGACCCCAUAUAAAUAAUGACGCCAAAUGUUUAAUUCAAAUACCACUGCCGCAAGUUCUAAAUCAUGUGUUGGAUAGUUCUUUUCAUGAUUCUUUAGUUGCCUCGAAGCAUAAGCUAUCACCUUCCCAUGUUGCAUUAAUACACACCCAAGCCCGAUUCUUGAAGCAUCACAAUAUACCACAAAUCCAUCCAUACCCUCUGGUAGAGUCAACACCGUUGUCGUAGUCAGUCUUGCUUUCAAUUCCUGAAAACUCUUUUCACAAGCAUAUGACCAUUGCUUCCAAUUGGCCCUAUUAACUGCCUCACUCUACGGCCAUUAUGCGGUCCGCGGAGUGAUUCUGCGGCCAUUAUGUGGUCUGACACCAUGAAACAUUAUUUUCUUUACAAAUUUUACCGGGCUUACCACUUAAGUACUUCAAAAUUUUCCGGGCUGUUACAGUUUGUGUUUGAAGAAAAUUAGAAAAAUGAUGGGAAACAGGGAUGCAAAUCAGAAGAUCAAGUAAGUGUGAAACGCAAAGGAAAAGAAAGUUGCGUAUAAGUAAAAUUUUGGCGGCUAAAUUCAUGGCCAUGAUUACCUCGAUAAUCGGCAAACGUUGUGCUGAAUCAUGGGAUGACGCAUGUUCGGGGCAUUAAAUGCGGAGAGAUGUGUGUCUAAUCAACUGUCAGAGACCUUCAGAGGGAAUUAUAGUAAUUCCUGCCAAAAAGAUGUUUCUACCAACUUCCCGUUAACAUAAAGUUAUGUCACCGGAAAGCAGGGGGACUAUCUGUAUAGGGUAAAAUAUAAUAUGACACGUGGCUGACUAAAAGGAGGACACGUGGAAUCCAAGAUGGAAUGGUUGAGGACCGGACGCAGCCACUGUGCUUGUCACCGGAACGGAUAACGUUCAUAAAAGUGUAUUAAAUACUCUGUACCCGGUAGCAUUUACUAAGGAAUAUUCGACAAUAUUUAGAGCGACGGUCUGUUACAAAGAAUUUGGCAUUUACACUAAACGUUACAUCUUCAUCAAUGACCCUCAUAAUUGGCAUUAAAGGAGGGCAUUAUCCUAGGACCUUUUUUACUAGGCAUAACUAUAAAUAGCAAGCUCAUUUACCAUUCUAAAGGACACGAAAAUUCUAGCAAGAACAUAUACUAUAUUCUAUAUAAAGCUUUAUACAAUUUCACUCUCUUGCUUUUUGACCCAAUCAUUACUGUGUUCGGAAACCGUGUUCACGGAAUCACUAUCUUUGCUAUUUCAUCUACAUUGCAAGGCUAAGUACUAUGUAUUUCUUUGAUUAUUACAUUAUUUCAGGAUCAAAUUAGUUCACUUGUAUAGAAACCACGUAUGAAUUCAACUGUAUCAUUUUAAGGGUAAACAUAUAUGUGGAUCCAAACAUUUACAUAUAAAUCAAACCACAAAUAACAAACAAAAAUCUAUCAAAGCAUGCGAAAAAUGCCUACUUUCUUUAUUUACUAGAUCUAUAGUACAAAGUCUUUAAACAUUUACCUAGCUUGCAGAAAAACAGCUUAAAAUUGGUGGAUGAAGCUUAAAUAAACUCUUAAACAACAACAGAAUUUGCCCAGAACUUCAAAUCAAAGGAUAAUCAGAAGUUUGACACCCAAAAUACCAGAAAGAACAUGCCAAAAUCAGUAAAAGAAAAAAAUAAUUGGCUUAUUUAAUUUCUUUAAACAUUUCUAGAUUCCAAGGGAGUUUCUCACUAAAACUAAGGUUUUGUCUUAGCUUUUUUAAAGAAUUUUGUGAAAACAAUAUUACUCUGCUCUACGUUUCUGAGUUCCCCUUCUGAAAUGUUCAAGCCAGCCUUUCAAAUGAAAGAAGAGCAGACUAUAUAAGUGAAAUUGGGUUUUCCCUUUUUUUCUUCCAUCCUAAAAGGAUCCUAAGUGCCUUAGCCAAUGAGCUAAAAGUAGUCCCCUUAAACUCCCUUUGUUCUUUCCCCUUUCUACCCUUAAAACCCUUGAAUUUUAUCCAUAUCCAGCUCACCUUUAUCCACAGAAGUGGCCUCGUGUAAGCAAAGAGAGAGUAAGGGCUUGGGCUUAGCCUAGUAAUCAAGAUUACAGCUUUUUAGGUCCUAUCUGAAUUUAAAGAUAGGCUCAUAUUCCAAAAUAAACUUGACCCAAAUACCCGAUCUAUAUCCAUUAUAACCCAAACGUUAUAACACCUAAACUAAACAAUCAAUAACUUAAAUAAAAUGACUAAUUACUAACAAAACAUUAACAGUUAAUAUAAUCUAAAUGACUAAAUAUGCUUAAUCAGAAAGUCAUGCAUACAAUUAAUUCUCAAACAUAAGAAUUAAGAAUUAACUAGACCUAAAUAACAAAAAGAAAGAAAGAAUGAAAGAGAAAUAGGUCAGAGGUUACUAACUUGUGGCAAAAUUGGAUCGAAAAACCUCGACAAAGACAAACAUGGCGUGUUCGACCACCGAGGAUCUAUGUCACAUGAACAUUGUCUUGGAUUUGGCUGUCCAUCCAGUGGUACAUGAGAUAUAGGCUAUUGAUAGCCGAAAAAUUAAAUAAAAGGGUCAGAAGGGAUAAUAGGCAAAUUUCGGCCAACCAAAUGCCUUCUUCAGGUCUUCCCUAGUUUAAUUUAGUUACAGAACUAGCGGAAGACCUAAAAAGGUCUUUGAUAACUGAAAGAGAUAAAUAAAAGGCUGCAUGGUGAAGGUCGGUGACCUUGAUCGGCAACGAUGAGUUGAUUGGAAUUCAAUCAUUGGGGAAUGAGUUUAAACCAGCAUUAAUCGAAAGAUCUCGAAGAAAUCUAUUGAUUGAUGUAUGUUUCUGGGUCGAACAUGCUUUGGUUAGGUUCGAUUUCCAAUGGAACGACCACACUAGGUUUAAUAUUGUAAAGUCGAUUUUGGAAGAAUUGAUAUGGUAUUGAAGGAGGUUCUUUGGUGCUUUAGAAAUAAGAGGUGAAGAAGAAGAGGUGGUGUGAAGAUGGUUGAAUUUGGAGAUCACGAACCCGCGGAGGCAAUUUUUGGGCUAUAGAUCUAGGGUGGUAGACAGCGGAAAAAGCGGUGGAGGACAGCAAAAACAAUUUUUGUCCAUCUCAGAGGGGAGAGGGAAUAGAGGAUUUUAUGUUUUUUGAUUAAAAAUCGAAUCUAUAGAUCCUUGUUCUACUUAAAAAGAUUUAAAGAUGAAAUGAUAUAAUUUCAGAUGGAAACUACGCCAUUUCAACCUCUGCGUUGAGUGUUUAUCGGAGCACA
rnacentral:lncRNA from 1 species